rnacentral:lncRNA from 10 species
AUGGUUCAGGGCUGGGCGUGGUGGCCUGUGCCUGUAAUACAAGCUACUAGGGAGGCUGAAGCAGGAGAAUCGCUUGAACCCGCGAGGUGGACGUUUCAGUGAGCUGAGAGCAUGUCAUUGCACUCCAGCCUGGGCAACAAGAGCAAAAGUCUCAAUAAAUACAUAAAUGACCAUGGUUCAGGUGAAAAGGCAGCCUGGGUGUGUUUGGAGGAGCAUGGAUUUGGAAUCACAGGCUCAGGGCUUGAGGGCUGGCCAUGAGGCCUUGGAAAACCAUAGUUUCCUCCUCUUCAGUCAACUUCACCGGGUUGUUGCGAGCGGCAAAUAGGAGCAUGUUUCUGAAAUGGUUUUGUCAUCUCUGAGACGUCAUACCAGUGGUGGUUAUUAUCAUUCCUACGAGGCUUGGAGAUGUUGUUGGCUAUGAGAGCAGGAUGAAAUAGCAGAGUGAUAUGGUUGCCAAAGAAAGCUAAUGUGGUAUCGACAGCAAGGGAUGCGACUCUCCACUUGACCAUCCAUUUCUGGGGCAUUAUGCUGUGUUCAGUUCCGGGAAUUGCCUUUUAAAAGGAACUUUGGCAAACUGUUGUUGUUCCAGAGAAAAUCGCAAGAAUAGCUUAGGGUUUGAGAGUUAUGACAUAUAAGGGAUGAUUUAAGGAUUUGGAGGAUGUUUAGUCUGGAGGAAAAAAAAAAUAAAGACUUAGCUAGAAUGAGGUAGCUCUUUCCAAAUAUCUGCAAGUUGUCCUGCAGAAGAGAGGAAAGAUUCAUUCUGUGUUGCUAGUGGCCAAGCCAGGGCCCAAUGAUGGGAGUUAAUAGGAGGCAGAUUUGGAUGCCAUUGGAGCCUAUCUAAAACUCAGACAGUUGUUCCCAGAUGGACUUCCUGGGAAAGUGGUGAACUGUCCAUAAGUGGAAGUCUUCAAGCAAAGGGGGCUGUUUCUGGGGACAGGGUGCUGUGAAGAGAAGUCCUGCUCUGGCUGAGAGGUUGAACCAAGUGUUCUCUGUAAUCCCGCCAAUUCUGAGACCACGAUUGUCUGCUUCUGCUCUCUCUGAUCUUUCUUGCUGAUCUGCUUCCUUCACCGUUUUUGAUGCCUUUGUUGACUGUCUGCUCCUUCUGAGAAUGCUUUAAGGUUUUAGAUUCAGAAAUAUUUCUGUAAUCAUUGAUAGUCCAGUGUAACGGAAAGUAGGAAGGAGGAACAUUUAAGAACAAAGGCAGUGUUGUUACUUUGAUGGACACACAGUAACCUGUUAAGUGGGGGUAGAAGCAGAAACAUGGUGGUGUGUGUUAGGGAGUCUUGUAAAUACUACAGCAAACGAAUAGGCAUCUCUUAUUCUUAGCUAUUGUUUAAAAUGCAAACACAACUGCUAAAGACCUUUGUUCUUGAAUGGACCAGCAUUUUCCUUGUUUAUACAAUUCUUUUGUUAGCUACAGAGAUUCAAGAAAAUUCUCACUAUAAGAAUUCUAGAUCAUAAACUGCUUUCCAGACUCAUAAUGUAAGUGCUUUGCUGAUUUGGUUAUAUCAAAUUCUGUACAGGAGGUGUUUUCAUGAUUUCUCGACUUCAGAAAAGCCAUUUUCUUGAGGAAAAUAUUUUUCACGCAUAGUUAGUGUUGCAGCUGGGAGAGUAAGAGGCUAGCUGAAUCUCUGCAGUUGAGUGGGCAGCUGAGCUAUUUCCAGGAUUUUGUUCUGCCCCCAAGUAGCAAUUAUGCAUCUGUCUCACAGUGCUCCACCUCAGACAUCCCAACCAUUAUUUCAGAAACCUCCACCUAGACUCGAAGGCACAAAAUAGAACUCAGCAGAUCCAGGUGGAAGGAGGAGGGAAUGGGUAGGAAUGAGUAACAUUUUGGUCAGAUUCCCUGAGGUCAGAGUCCUCGCCCAGUCCCGAGGAUGACAGCAGAGACAUGGAGAAAACUGUGGAUCAGGGCGUGAGUUCCAAUGCUUUGGGAGCCUUGUUGGUCCACUGUGGCAGGAAGAGCCUAGAGAGACAACAGUAAUGGUUCUUCAGAUCUGGGGGACUGGCCAGUUGGGCCAGGCUGGGCAGGGUGGUGGGGUGCUGAAGAGGCAGCAGCAAUCUGUAGGAGCUGCAGCGUCCAUAGUCAUCCUGUGAGACUGCUGCCCUAUUGCAGACCCAGUCUCUGAGGCUGCUGUGUUGAACCCACAUCCUGUUGCCUUAGCUCCACCUUGGUGUGCCCUUGAACCCUGGGCUCAGGACAGCUUCAGCCUGGAGACCAGCAGGUGGAUUUGCUCUUGGAUCUACAUUCUGGAGAGAGGGACCAGCCAACUCUGAUUGAAGCCCAGCCCACAGCCUUACUCCCCACUCAUUCUUUUUUUUUUUGAGACAGAGUCUUGCUCUGUUG